rnacentral:rRNA from 1 species
CAAUAGCGUAUAUUAAAGUUGUUGCGGUAAAAAAGCUCGUAGUUGGAUUUCUACCGAAGAUAGCCGGUCGGGUCUUCGACCUUGUAUCUGGUUUUGUCUUUGGUAUCCUCAUAGGGAACGUUUCUGCGCUUUAUUGCGUGGUGCGGUAUCUAUGACUUUUACUUUGAGGAAAUUAGAGUGUUCACGGCAGGCAAACGCCUUGAAUAUAUUAGCAUGGAAUAAUAACAUAGGAUCUUCGUCCUAUUUUGUUGGUUUCUAGGGCUAAGAUAAAGAUUAAUAGGGAUAAUUGGGGGCAUCUGUAUCAACGCGUCAGAGGUGGAAUUCUUGGAUUGCGUUGCGACAAACUACUGCGAAAGCAUUUGCCAAGGAUGUUUUCAUUGA